rnacentral:tRNA from 1 species
GGGCUCGUAGCUCAGUGGAUAGAGCGCCGGACUACGAAUCCGUAGGCCGCAGGUUCAAAUCCUGCCGGGCCCA